rfam:Myotis brandtii contig245501, whole genome shotgun sequence.
GGCGGUUCUCAGGUGAUGCACCCCGGAAUCAGGCUCCCUCCUCUCUGGUUCCAGGGUACAUCACCUGAGAACCACC